UUUCGCAAUGCCCGAAAGGGUGACGAAGCGACGCCGCGUGGGUGAGGAAGGCCUUCGGGUUGUAAAGCCCUGUCAGGAGUUAAGAAAUGUAAGUGCGCUAAUACCGCGUUUAUUUGACGAAGGCUCCAAAGGAAGUCACGGCUAACUCUGUGCCAGCAGCCGCGGUAAUACAGAGGUGGCAAGCGUUGUUCGGAAUUAUUGGGCGUAAAGAGCACGUAGGUGGGUUUGUAAGUCAGAUGUGAAAGCCUCCUGUUCAACGGGAGAAUUGCAUCUGAAACUACAGAUCUUGAGUGUAGGAGGGGAGAAUGGAACUUCUGGUGGAGCGGUGAAAUGCGUAGAUAUCAGAAGGAACGCCGGCGGCGAAAGCGAUUCUCUGGCCUAUUACUGACACUCAGUGUGCGAAAGCUAGGGUAGCAAACGGGAUUAGAUACCCCGGUAGUCCUAGCCGUAAACGAUGGGCACUAAGUAGAGGGGUUUUA
rnacentral:rRNA from 1 species